rnacentral:rRNA from 1 species
UACGUAGGGUGCAAGCGUUAAUCGGAAUUACUGGGCGUAAAGCGUGCGCAGGCGGCUUUGCAAGACAGAUGUGAAAUCCCCGGCUUAACCUGGAACUGCAUUUGUGACUGCAUGGCUGGAGUGCGGCAGAGGGGAUGGAAUUCCGCGUGUAGCAGUGAAUGCGUAGAUAUGCGGAGGAACACCGAUGGCGAAGGCCAAUCCCUGGGCCUGCCACUGACGCUCAUGCACGAAAGCGUGGGGAGCAAACAGG